CCCAGACUCCUACGGGAGGCAGCAGUAGGGAAUCUUCGGCAAUGGACGAAAGUCUGACCGAGCAACGCCGCGUGAGUGAAGAAGGUUUUCGGAUCGUAAAACUCUGUUGUUAGAGAAGAACAAGGACGUUAGUAACUGAACGUCCCCUGACGGUAUCUAACCAGAAAGCCACGGCUAACUACGUGCCAGCAGCCGCGGUAAUACGUAGGUGGCAAGCGUUGUCCGGAUUUAUUGGGCGUAAAGCGAGCGCAGGCGGUUUCUUAAGUCUGAUGUGAAAGCCCCCGGCUCAACCGGGGAGGGUCAUUGGAAACUGGGAGACUUGAGUGCAGAAGAGGAGAGUGGAAUUCCAUGUGUAGCGGUGAAAUGCGUAGAUAUAUGGAGGAACACCAGUGGCGAAGGCGGCUCUCUGGUCUGUAACUGACGCUGAGGCUCGAAAGCGUGGGGAGCAAACAGGAUUAGAUA
rnacentral:rRNA from 1 species